GGCGCUCUGCCCGCUGUUUCGCGAGCUCUGGGUCGUACUCUGCCCGGAGGUUGGAAACGGGUGAAAGGAGGCGACCUGGGGCAAGGCGGGGUCUUUCUGUGCAGUUCAGGCUGCCCUUGAACUGUGUAACCUUGGCUCACCUUGAACUGGAGGCGAUCUGCCUGCCCCAGCCUCCUGAGAGCUGGGAUUACAGGUAUCAUGCACCACGUGCAGCAGUAAUUUGUUGUUGGUAAUGAUAAAUUUUGCAGGAAAGUUAUAAGGAACUAUUCUGCAUUACUCUAAAUGGGAAAAUUAGAAUGCAUCACACUUCUCCAAACCAGUUUUUAAAAAUGUAAAUAAAAUACAGUACAGUGCCCACUUACAAAUAAC
rnacentral:lncRNA from 1 species